rnacentral:misc_RNA from 1 species
GUGAUUACAAAGCAAUUGUGCAAAACCCAAACCCAUUGAUCCCACCAAUAUUUGGGACAGAUGAAUUUGGCUGGUGCUCUGAGUGGAAUCCAGCUAUGACAAAAUUGACUGGAUGGAAGCGAGAAGAAGUAAUAGAUAAAAUGCUUCUGGGGGAGGUUUUUGGAAUCAACAUGGCUUGUUGUCGUCUCAAGAAUAAAGAAGCCUUUGUAAAUCUUGGUAUUAUACUUAAUAAUGCCAUGACUGGCCAAGAUCCUGAGAAGGUUUCUUUCAUUUUCUUUGCUCGGAAUGGAAAGUAUGUGGAGUGCCUGCUAUGCAUGAGUAAGAAAUUGGACAGAGAGGGUGCU